rnacentral:rRNA from 1 species
GAUGAACGCUGGCGGCGUGCCUAAUACAUGCAAGUCGAGCGAACAGACGAGGAGCUUGCUCCUCUGACGUUAGCGGCGGACGGGUGAGUAACACGUGGAUAACCUACCUAUAAGACUGGGAUAACUUCGGGAAACCGGAGCUAAUACCGGAUAAUAUAUUGAACCGCAUGGUUCAAUAGUGAAAGACGGUUUUGCUGUCACUUAUAGAUGGAUCCGCAUCGCAUUAGCUAGUAGGUAAGGUAACGGCUUACCAAGGCGACGAUGCGUAGUCGACCUGAGACGGGGAACUGCCACAAUGGAAAAGAGAACCGUCCGCAACACCUACGGGAAGCGGAAGUAGGAAACCUUCCGCAACAAGCGCAAGCCUGAAGGAGCAACGCGACGUGAGUGAUGAAGGUCUUCGGAUCGUAAAACUAUGUUAUUAGGGAAGGACAAUAGUGUAAGUAACUAUACACGUCUUAAGGGUACCUACUCAGAAAGCCACGGCUAACUACGUG